ACGCUCGACACCUACGGGGGCAGCAGUGGGGAAUAUUGCACAAUGGGGGAAACCCUGAUGCAGCAACGCCGCGUGAAGGAAGACGGUUUUCGGAUUGUAAACUUCUGUUCUUAGUGAAGAUAGUGACGGUAGCUAAGGAGCAAGCCACGGCUAACUACGUGCCAACAGCCGCGGUAAUCUGAGCGGGCUGGCAAGGC
rnacentral:rRNA from 1 species